rnacentral:rRNA from 1 species
UUGGGAGGAAGGGCAUUAACCUAAUACGUUAGUGUUUUGACGUUACCGACAGAAUAAGCACCGGCUAACUCUGUGCCAGCAGCCGCGGUAAUACAGAGGGUGCAAGCGUUAAUCGGAAUUACUGGGCGUAAAGCGCGCGUAGGUGGUUUGUUAAGUUGGAUGUGAAAUCCCCGGGCUCAACCUGGGAACUGCAUUCAAAACUGACUGACUAGAGUAUGGUAGAGGGUGGUGGAAUUUCCUGUGUAGCGGUGAAAUGCGUAGAUAUAGGAAGGAACACCAGUGGCGAAGGCGACCACCUGGACUAAUACUGACACUGAGGUGCG